rnacentral:sRNA from 1 species
AGAUGUCACUCCAGACCAUAUCCUAAACUCCUGAAAAACCGAAAGGUAAACGAUUGCCUUCUCUCACCCUAAUUGCGCAAUCUGAAUUGCGGUACGCCGGGAAAACGACACAGGACGUCAGGAGGGGGUCAAUGGCCGGUACGCUAAUAAAUUAAGCCUGGAAUUUUGUCUGAUCUUGACCAAAAGGGGAAGAGCAAAAACGGAUAUCGCACUAAAUCCUGCAAGAUUUUUAGCGUAAGUUGUGUAAAAAUGAGCAGGCUCACUUUUCGUGGGGGGAUUAUAAGGAGAAAAAUUGAUGAAUACCGAUCUUAAGUUUUCGCUGACAACCACCAUCAUUGUUCUGGGUCUGAUUGUUGCGGCAAGUUUUACCGCGAUUCUGCACUGA